AACCCUUCGAAAUACAGCCGAAAAGGUUUUUUCGUUGAAAGUUGGGUAUUUGACGGCCGAUUUUUAAAAUUAACAUGUCAUCACAUUUCCUUUUAAGCUAUGAAGUCGUUUACCCAUGGUUAGGUCAGCUAACAAAAUUCGCCCCCACAAAUUCCUCCAACAGUUUUCUUAGUUGGAAAUUUAAUCUCACUGCUUUCGUACCAAUUUAGGUACAUUUUUGCUACGAUUUUUCCCAAAUUCAUACUCUUUGUUUUCGUCGCAUCAGCAACCCGGGGAGUGCAAAACUGACGCUGUCAAUAGCGAGCUAACCUCUUGUAAUUUAAUCAUGCCAAUAAAUUUUAUAAAUUGUGGAAGUCAAAGUAAAUAAGUGAGUCAAACCUGUUGUUUCGUAUUGAUAAUAAUAAUUUAUAAUUAAUACCAUAAAUUGUGCUGGUGAAAUAAAAUUAAAAAGUGACUUAACAGUGUGUGCAAUUUAAAAAUGGCUUUCGUUAAGCGCGAUAUUGAUAUUAAAAUGUUACCUACGAAACGUGGUGUUAUUGAAUAUUUUUUGUUCCUUAAAUAUUACGGCUCUGCAAGUGUUCCAAAAAAUCGAAGUCUCAAUGAAUAUUUGCCAAUAGUUAUGAACACAAUUUCAAAGUUGUGGCAGCAGGCAAACCCAGGCAAACCCAGGCAGGCAGGCAGUUCUACCCAGAUAGUGAACUUACAAUGUUUCAAUUUUCGGAAAAUGAAGUGAUAAAUAUCCCAGAGUUCCUCUGUCAUUCCCAGAAUACCGAACGGUUUGUGCGUGUUGUUAGUGAGUCUGCAAGUGCUGUCACUGAUGAAAAGCGCCUGGGCCACAUUUUUU